UACGGAGGGUGCAAGCAUUGAUCGGAAUUACUGGGCGUAAAGGGCGCGUAGGCGGUUUAGAAAGUCAGAUGUGAAAUUCCGGGGCUCAACCCCGGAGCUGCAUUUGAAACUUCUAGACUAGAGUACAGUUAGGGAAAACGGAAUUCCACGUGUAGCGGUGAAAUGCGUAGAGAUGUGGAAGAACACCAGUGGUGAAGACGGGUUUCUGGGCUGAAACUGACGCUGAGGCGCGAAAGCAAGGGGAGCAAACAGG
rnacentral:rRNA from 1 species